AGUGUUGUGACUACAAAGUGCUUGUUCUUCAAUAAAAUGUGCCAUCCUCGUAAAAAAAUCUAUUAUCACAAAUAUAAAAUUAUGCAAUUUUGAGAUUGAAAGAUUUAUGAUAAAAUCGACAAAAAUAAAAGAUCAUGGUUGUUUCAAAAUAGAUAAUAGCUAAAAAAGUCUAUAAAAUUGAUAACAAGGAGUUUUUGAUCUUGAACAAAUGUUACAUGAUUGUAAAAAAUCUUUGAUUGCCUUUCACAUUUGAAGCCACUAAAAAUC
rnacentral:lncRNA from 1 species